AUUGAACGCUGGCGGCAUGCCUUACACAUGCAAGUCGAACGGUAACAGAUCUUCGGAUGCUGACGAGUGGCGAACGGGUGAGUAAUACAUCGGAACGUGCCUAGUAGUGGGGGAUAACUACUCGAAAGAGUGGCUAAUACCGCAUAAGAUCUACGGAUGAAAGCAGGGGAUCGCAAGAACUUGUGCUACUAGAGCGGCCGAUGGCAGAUUAGGUAGUUGGUGGGAUAAAAGCUGACCAAGCCGACGAUCUGUAGCUGGUCUGAGAGGACGAUCAGACACACUGGGACUGAGACACGUCCCAGACUCCUACGGGAGGCAGCAGUGGGGAAUUUUGGACAAUGGGCGCAAGCCUGAUCCAGCAAUGCCGCGUGCAGGAUGAAGGCCUUCGGGUUGUAAACUGCUUUUGUACGGAACGAAAAGCCCUGGGUUAAUACCCUGGGGUCAUGACGGUACCGUAAGAAUAAGCACCGGCUAACUACGUGCCAGCCGCCGCCGUAAAAC
rnacentral:rRNA from 1 species